AUGUCUCCUUUCGCCUGCGUGGCCGCCUUGACCCUCGCACUGGCCUCGCUAUCGCCGGCGGCAGCCAUCAGCGUCCCCGGCCAUAACCCUGGCGCCGCCGUCGUGCCCUCCUGGGCGCAGUUCCUGCGGGCGCACAACGACGCGCGCAGCGCAGUCGGCCUGCCGCCGCUGAAGUGGAACUUGACGCUGGAGCUGGACGCCAUGCAGUACGCGAACAAGCUCCGCAUCCCCUGCAACCUUUCGCCGAUCCCGUGGGCCGCCGACGGGGUCUACGGGCGGAACCUCUACUGGGCCAACGGGCACCACAACGCGACGCACGCGGUGGUCGCGUGGGUGGGUGAGCGGCGGUGGUACGACCACCGCGCCAACGCCUGUGCCCCGGGGAAGACAUGCGGCGAGUACACGCAGGUGGUGUGGAACACCACGCGGGAGCUCGGCUGCGGCCGCCGCACCUGCCGGAACGGCCUCGACACCGUGGCCGUCUGCGAGUACUUCCCUCCUGGCAACUAUGUUGGCGUGCCGCCCUACUGA
rnacentral:rRNA from 1 species